ACUCAAAUGAAUAGACGGGGACUUGCACAAGUAGUGGAUUAUGUGGUUUAAUUCGACGAUAAACGAAGAACCUUACCAAGGUUAGAAAUCAACGUGAAAGCCCCAAGAAACUGGGGCCCUCGCAAGACUAGUUGACAGGUGAUGCAUGGCCGUCGUCAGUUCGUGGUUUGAAUUGUUCCCUUAAGUGGGGUAACGAACGCAACCCUCGUCGUGUGUUAUAAGUGUCACACGAGACUGCCCCGACCCAAGGAAAUAAUUAUAAUUAAUUAUAAUUGUAUCUUUCGGUCGGGGAGGAAGGAGAGGAUGACGCCAGGUCAGCAUGUCCCUUGAUACCUUGGGCCACACACAUAAUACAAUCGCAAUUACAACGGGCAGCGACGGGGUAACCCUGAGCGAAUCCUAAUAAAAAUUGCGCCAGUUCGGAUUGGGGGCUGCAACUCGACCCCAUGAAGUUGGAAUUACUAGUAAUCGCGGGUCAGAUAUACCGCGGUGAAUACGUUCUCAAGUCUUGUACACACCGCCCGU
rnacentral:rRNA from 1 species